rnacentral:lncRNA from 1 species
UCAAAAUUGAUAAAUGUUGGUUAUUGUGUAUCUACUAUCUUUUUUACCCACAUACAAUAUAUUCUUAUUCAUCGUGUAGAUGAAACAAAAAAAGUCUUUUUAACGUUCGACAAUCAUGAAGACGAGACGAGACAAAGCAAAACACCUCAAAUUCAAAAAGAAUGAAUUGAUAAAAAAGAUCCAUAAAUCGAGGCUGAUUUCCAGGAGUUCAAGGAUGAUUCCGAUGUCGACGUCGACGAUGUUGAAACCAGCGGCGACUUUGUUUGUGCCUUGUAACGUAUUAUAAUAUUUGGUAGGGUAUUGUUACGUUUGAGAUAGGUGAAGAUUUGAGAUAGAUUGGGAUGGGUCGAGGGUUUGCUGGUUUUCGGAACAGACCGUUUGAGUUGAUGAUUUGAUUUAGAGUGAAAUUAUUGUGAGGAAAAAGAUGGUAAAAGUAUUCAAAUAUAAUUUUUGUUGUUCAUUAGAUUAUUUGUAACGCUUCAUUACUUUUGAGUACGUAAACAAUACAUUCUACUAUAUUGUUUUGAGGUUUUAACUUAGUGUUUAAGGUCUAUAAUAUAGUGUUAAGGAUAUAUAAUUUAAUUUGUGGGGUUUAGGAUUUAUUAAUUUAGAUUUAUGGUCAAAAGUUUGAGUUUGGAGUACGACUAAGAGUCCGGUUUAUGAUCUAGUGUUUGAAGGUUAGAAUUUAGUGUUGAGGGUACCAUAUGCCCGUUAGUACCGGAGUCUCCGACAUCAAAUUAACUCAAAUGUAACUCAUCUAAUACGAUUAAUGUACCGUACCAUGGUUCGAUCUAAUGAACGUGCCUGAUCCAACUAUACCAACCCUACUCAUGACCAUACAUUAUUAGGAUUCAAUAACCUUAAUUUCAUAGUGAUAUGUCAAAACUCUUGAAUCAAUGUAUGACAACAUUUUUACCUAUGAGUCUAUGACCCUAUUGGUCGAACUCAUCGAAUUUUACUGCGGUUGUUGUUUCUUGGGUGUCUGUUUUACUGCGGUUGUUGUUUCUAGGUGGUCUGUAGUUACAUAUUAACGUAACAGAUCCUACGUGUAGGGAUAUUCAGAAGCACAGAAAAAACCAGGGGAAGGAAACCUAUGGCGAUGAUCAGCUUGAUUCUGAUGAUCAUUUUACAGAGUUUCCCAACAACAAAUUUGAAGCUUUAUUAUCACUUGAGGACGAGCUGAUAUAGAAGAAGAUGUGUGUUGGGGAAAAAAAGGGUGUGGAGGAAUGUUGGAAACUGAAGUUUGUUGGUCGUUUCAGUGGUAGAAUAUGUGUAUGGUUAUAUGGAGAUAUCGGGUUUGAAUUUAGUAUUUUUUGAAAAAUGAACAUCUGUUUAUUUUCUAUUUUUUAUUGAUCGAAAGUUUUAAUCUAUUCUGACAAAAAAAGUUUGUUGGAUAUUAGAGGACUUGAUGGUUAAAAUUUGAUAUUUUUUUUUAUUAAUGAAACGAGUUUAUAUAUUAUAGAGGCAAUAAAAAGUUUGAAAAAAUCACGCAUCAUCAUUGAAAGUUAGGGUUUUCUCUCGUCUCUAAAGUUAGAGUAUUUUUCCCAUUUCCUUCACCCGACUUAUAAUUUUAUCGUUUCAACCCCGUAAUCUCCCACCCAUCCAUCCGUAAUCCCAAACCUCCCAAUCAACUCCCACUUAAGCAAUGAAAAAUCUCAAUUCCCCAACUCCGCCUCCUCCAUGGAUUUUAUCGUUAUAUCAAGCGCCAUGGUUCGGUCAUCCCCACCACCACCACCGUCCCCCAGUAUAGUGUUCAGUUGAGCUUAUUAGUUUUAUUGUCUAUUCAAAAAGCACUUCUUAGUUUAAAAAAAAUGUGAACGAGAAGAUUAAUUACAUAAGUUUCUACAAAAAAGUAGAUUAUUUGCAUAAGCUUCUUUCUUAAAAACUUAUAUACAAAUAUUUUUGAAUGUUCUUAUACACUUGCAAGAAGAUAAUUAUUUAAAUUUAUGUAAGUAAGAUAUAUAGUUUUUGUCGAUAAUAUAUUAUAUUAUGUUUUUUAAAUUGAACAAGUUGUGUGAUCAGUAUCAUUUAACUUAAGACUUACUAUUUUUUAUAGUAAUAUUAAGAAAGAAAAAAAGAAAAAAACAAAUUAUAUUAAUUUGGAAAAUUGUGUAAUUAGUAUCAUUUAAGUAAGAUAGACUGUCUCUGCAGUUGACAAAAAUAAAUAUAUUAGACAGUCAUAUGAGUUAGACAUGUUGUUAGAUUUGUCGAGACAUUAACUAGAUUAGAUUAUAUGUGGCAAAAUAAAUAGAAUAUAUGAAAAGCUAAGAAUUGAGAAACAUUAUGAAGUUAAUUGCAGAUGACAAGAGGAGAAGAUCAAUCAAACAAAACAAAACAAAAAAGAUUAAAAAUGGUGGAUGGUGUCAGAUAUACCUUCACAAAACCCAAGUAAUUAGGUUUUGUGAAAGUGUUGCUGCACUAAUUUGUGAGCAGUAGUAUAUAUGCAUAUUGAAAGGAAGCUAAAAAGCUAAUGGUUACAAAAUAUAUUUAAUACAAGAUAUGGUAGAUGAAUUGAACAUGUGAAAUAUAUUGAACUAAGGUAGAUGAAUUGAACAUGUGAAAUACAUUGAACUUAACACUCUCCCUCAAUCACAGCCGUGCAAGGUUGAGAUUGCGCUUGAACUCUUCUAGACUUCGAACAGGCAAUGCUUUGGUGAACCCAUCUGCUACUUGAUCUUUGGAUGACACAAAUCGUAUAUUUAGUUGCUUCUUGGCAACUCUUUCUCUCACAAAAUGAAAGUCAAUUUCAAUGUGUUUUGCUCUAGCAUGAAAUACUGGAUUUGCAGACAAAUAGGUUGCACCUAAGUUGUCACACCACAAGCAUGAUAUUUCUUUUCUUUCAACACCAAGCUCAGCCAAGAGAGACUCAACCCAUAUCACUUCAGCAGUAGCAUUAGCCAAGGCUUUCUGUACUAGACCUCGACACAGUGGCUUGUUUUCUCGCACUCCAUGAGAUGAGAUUAGGACCGAGGAAAAUGGCAAAGCCGCCAGUUGAUCGUCGAUCAUCUAAAGAACCUGCCCAAUCAGCAUCAGUAAAAGCACUCACCAAGAAGGAGGAAGAUCGUUUAAAGGUCAGGCCAACAUCAAGGGAUCCUUUCACAUAUCGCAACACGCGCUUAGCUGCAGUCCAAUGUGUGGUGGUCGGCGCAUGUAAAUAUUGACAAAUUUUGUUAACUGAGAAUGCCAAAUCAGGACGAGUAAGAGUAAGAUACUGUAAAGCACCCACAAUGCUCCUAUACUUUGUGCUGUCUUCAGGUCCCAAAGGCUCCCCAUUAUGUGCCGAAAGUUUUUCGGUUGGAGAAAGAGGUGUAGGAGCUGCCUUCCAAUUUUGCAUAUUGACCCGAGUCAAUAAAUCAGAAGCAUAUUUUCCUUGAGACAAUGCAAUGCCUUCUUGGUUUCUUUUAACUUCAAUGCCUAAAAAGAAAUGAAGAUCACCUAGAUCCUUGAGGGUGAAAUCAGAGCUCAAAUCUUCAAGCAGCUCGGCAGCAGCUUUAUCGGAUGAACUUGUAACAAUAAUAUCAUCCACAUAAACGAGGACAAACAUAGUUACUCCUGCCUUAUUAUAAAUGAAUAGGGAUGUAUCUGACUUUGAUGUAGCAAAUCCAAGAUUCUGUAACUUUUUACUUAAUCGGGCGUACCACGCGCGCGGAGCUUGCUUCAACCCAUACAAAGCUUUGUCAAGCUUGCAAACAUGGGAUGGUGCAUUUUUAUCUUCAUAGCCAGGCGGUUGUUUCAUGUAAACCUCCUCUUCCAGAACACCAUGCAAAAACGCGUUCUGUACAUCUAACUGUCUCAGGCACCAUCCUCUAGACACAGCUAUAGAUAGAAUGAGUCGAAUGGUAGCAAUUUUCACAACAGGGCUAAAGGUGUCUUCAUAAUCAAUUCCAUACCUUUGUUUGAACCCCUUGGCAACUAACCGUGCUUUGUAUCGAUCAACAGUUCCAUCUGCUUUUUUUUUAAUUUUGUACACCCACUUACAAUCAAUCACGUUCUUGCCAUGUGGUGCAAGAACCAAAUGCCAUGUCUUGUUUCUCAUAAGUGCCUCAUAUUCAUCAUCCAUUGCAUUUUUCCACUUGGUGUCAUCAAGUGCUUCCUGCAAAUUAUUGGGUUCACCUGUAGCACAAAGAAAACCAUAUCCAUAUGGUAUAGUACCAUCUGUCCUUUUCUUCGGUCGUUGAAUACCAUGUUGAAGUCUGGUUUGUGGUCGUAAAUCGGCCAAGGGUGGAGACGGUGUAUGUGUGCUAGCUGUAGUAGAUCCACUAAGAGGUGAGGCAGCUUGUGAUUGAACACGAGCUGGAGUAUGGUCGCUCCUGUCCGGUGGUUGAUUGGACGAUGCAGAACUCAAUACAGGUUCAUUUGGCGCGUUUGAGAUGAUAUCAGCAAGUUGCAGCACAGAACGAUCAAUCUGUGAGACCAUGCCAUCAGAUUUGUUACCCAAAUCUUUAUUAGAUUCCAUUAGAUUGUCUCCAAGAACCUGCAAGGAACCAACAGGAGCAACAAUGCUGGUAUUUUCAUUAGGCACUUGAUCAAUAUUAUGCACACCCCCAUGAGUAAAUGUCGGCUUAUCAAAAAGAUGGUUAGGAAGAAGGAGAACUUCUUUGCGAAGAUGGGCACCAGCAUUGGGAUGGAGAGAAGCAAACGGAAAGACAGAUUCGUCAAAAAUGACAUCUCGAGAGAUAUAAACUCGACCGGUGGAGACAUCAAGACAUUUUACACCUUUAUGAAGGGGGCUAUACCCGAGGAAGACACACUUCUUCGAACGAAAAGCCAGCUUGUGAAUGUUAUAUGGUCGAAGAUUAGGCCAACAAGCACAACCAAAAACGCGAAGGGAAUGAUAAUUAGGUUGGAUAUUGAGAAGGCGUUUUGUGGGAGUGUCAAGAUUUAUCACUUUGCUUGGCAACAUGUUAAUGAGGUGGGUGGCAGUGAGAAAAGCCUCGUCCCAAAAUUUGAGAGGCAUUGAGGAAUUUGCGAGUAAAGCGAGUCCAACUUCAACAAUAUGACGAUGCUUUCGCUCUGCAGAACCAUUCUGUUGAUGUGCAUGAGGGCAAGACACAUGGUGCGAAAUGCCAACAGUUUGGAAGAAAGCAUUGAGUUUUUCGUACUCUCCUCCCCAAUCAGUUUGCAGAGUGAUGAUUUUAUGAUUAAAUUUUCUUUCAACAAAUUGCUGGAAAUUUCGAAACACUGGAAAAACAUCAGAUUUCUUACGAAGCAAAUAGAUCCAAGUAAAUUUACUGAAAUCAUCAAUGAAGCUGACAUAAUAGGAGUAGCGUCCAACAGAAGUAGGUGCUGGUCCCCAAACAUCCGAAAACACAAGUUGAAAAGGAAUUGUGGAAACACUAGUAGACGUAGGAUAGGGUAAUUGAUGGCUUUUUGCUUGUUGACAAGGAUCACAAAUAGACUCAGUAUUUAACUCUUUGACAAAAGGGAGAUUGUUUUUCCUAAGGACUUGUCGAACGAUGAAAGACGAUGGAUGUCCUAAACGACUAUGCCACCUUGCAUGAGAUGGCUUGGUGGCAGUACACACUUGUUUGGUGGAGUUUGGAGAAGAAGACACAAGAGGGUAAAGUCCACCUUGACACUUGCCUCUAAGAAUAGUUUGCUUCGUGUCCUGAUCCUUGAUCAAGAAGUAAUGUGGAUGAAAUUCAAGAUAGGCAUUAUUAUCACAGGCAAGUUUAUGCACAGAAACAAGAUUCUUGGAUGCACUUGGAACAUGAAGAAUAUUUUUAAGAUGAAGAUUACGGCUAGGGGCAUGCAUAAUUGAAUGACCAAUAUGCUUAAUUUUCAUACCUGCUCCAUUGGCAGUGUGGAUUUGAUCAUGUCCCUUGUACUUCUCACGAAUCGUCAUUUUGUCGAGCUCACUAGUGAUGUGAUCGGUGGCACCAGUGUCGGUGUACCAGUUUGUGUCUAUGCCGUAGGAAUUGACAGCUAAAUUCACCCCUUUUUCCUCAUAUGAAUCGUUGUCUUCAUAGCGCCACCAGCACUCACUUGCCGAAUGACCUGAUAUCUUACAUAUUUGACAUGUGACAUCACGUUUUGGAGCUGCACGUCCUCGGCCACGUCCGCGACCGCCAUUGCUCGAAAAAGUGCGCCCCCCUUUUUCACUAGAAUUGAUGCGGCCAUUUCUACCACCUCGAUUCGCCUUACCGCGAGGAGCAUAGCUAUUUCGACUUCGGGAGGCGACAUUUGCAGUGUUAUGAAAUGGGCCUUUAGUUCCUCCAUUGUCCAGCAACAUUUCCUGGCGCAAGUCAUAGGCUGCAAGUUGUGCAUAGAAUUCGCUGAUAGUGAUAUUGGGUUGCGCGUUGAUGGAGGCGACCAAAGGAUUGUACUCAAUGUCCAGCCCCGCAAGCAUAUAUUCGACCAUCUCUUCUUCAGCGAGAGGACGGCCAGCGGCAGCGAGCUCAUCUCCGAGACCCUUCAUUUUGGAGACAAAAUUGGCCGCAGAUAGGUUCUCCUUUCAGAAGGCGGUGAGCCAAGAGACGUUGUGGUGAUUGAUGUGGAUGUGGAGGCCAUGGGAGACACAGAGAGUUUUCUUCUUGUUGUUUCUUUUUUUUUGUAAGCCGAAGAGACGCUAGGUGGAUUUGAAAGAGGUAGCUCUUGAUACCAAAUUAGGUUUUGUGAAAGUGUUGCUGCACUAAUUUGUGAGCAGUAGUAUAUAUGCAUAUUGAAAAGAAGCUAAAAAGCUAAUCGUUACAAAAUAUAUUUAAUACAAAAUAAGGUAGAUGAAUUGAACAUGUGAAAUACAUUGAACUUAACAAUACCUUCACAAAACCCAAGUAAGUUAGGCUGGAAUCUGGGCUUAUACAGAGUUCUGUACGUACCUGCGUGCCGCAAUUAUCUAUAUCUGUUUCUACUGCCGAGUUGCCGGAUGAUCUGCCGACAAAGCUUCAUGUGGGGAUGAACAUAAACCUCGCUAGCUUUAUGGAUCAGAACUCUUCAGCUUCUGCAAUUUUUUUUUAUUUACUAUUGUUGCAGCAUGUGAUCUUAUAUAUAUAGAAGCUUGCUUGUUGGGAACUUGUUUCUGCCUGCAGGGGUGAACUAUUUCUGAGACGAAGAUAUCAAAUAAAAUAAAAGACAGCUGGAUCUAUCUGGUCAAACUUUCCUCGGACUCGUCGUACCUCUUCUGGUUAUAUUCAGUACACGGUCCGCAAUUUACUGGCAAAGCCGCCGGAGUCUUGUCGUGUAGUGCCCUCCCCUACACCCUAGUCCCUAGUAUUAACAUGUAUAUUAAGUUGGGGCGCAUGUUUGGAAUUCAGGCAAAAUAGGGGUUUAGAAUUUUUAGAACGCUUUUGGAUCGUUAGAUUUUACAAAUUUUAGAUCUAACGUUUUGUAUAAAAAAUGUAAGGAAGUCUUUUCAAUAAAAAUUAUUCAAUUUAUUGUUUAUUUCAAUUUUAGUGUUUAGAUUUUGGGUUUCUAAUUUUGCUUUAAGGAUAUGUGGGUUAUAGACCUAUCGCAAAUUCCAAUGCGCCACUUGAUGAUAAUAUGAAACUUAGUCGGUCUAAAUUCUUUUUUGUACAUGUUAUAAACUAAAGGCUUCGAACUAUAAAUCUUGGACAAAUACAAAAGAAUUUAAAUUGCUUUCCAACACCAUGUUUUCAAUCUAAGGACAUGUCAGUUCUGAGUUUAUUACACGUCCAUUAUAUCACUUUGAUGGUAAUAAAAAUCCAGAAAGUUUUAUUUAAAUAUUGCAUAAAUUAGAGGUUUGAAGAGUUAUUAAGAGUUAUGGACACACCACACUAGCAUGCAUGAUGUAUUGUGUUUUCUACAUAUUUUUUUUGUUAUAAAUUGUAUUUUUGUGUGUCGAAAUGUAUUUAAAUUCAUGUUUUUGAGUAUAUGUUUGGUUCUCUCGCCCCUCAGGGCCGUAUUAUGGUGUUUGGUAUGCUUUUGGUACAUUUCAGGUGUCAUAUAUGAUGUUUAGAGAUGAACCAAACCAUGACGGGGAGGCCGGAACAAUUCAAAGCGUUCGACUUGGGAAGAAAGCAUCACUGUUUAGUAUUUUGAGCAUAACUCUUCGCUUGGAUGUCCAAUUGAUGUAAAGUCGGCAGUGCUGGAAAGAUAAUUCGAUUGUCUACAACUUUUAUGUUGACGCUAUGGUCAAAUUCCGUAUAAUUAUGGAAUACGGCGUGUUCCUCCUUUGGAAUUGCCCGAGAAAAUUAUAAGGGCGGAACACGGCCAGGAACACUGCGUGUUUCUUAUGGAGCAUGGCGUAUCCCACCCCAGACGGAUUUUCAAUUCCUUUUUCUUCUCCAACUUGGCCCAGGAAUCUAUAAAUACCCCUGAUAUCCCAUAUGAAUGAGAUAGAUUUCAUUAUACACAUAUUUUCGAGCUCUUAGAAAGAGGUAGAGUUCCGCAUAUACUGAAUAUACACAUAUUUUCGAGCUCUUAGAAAGAAAUAAGGUUCCACAUAUACUUCAUUAUACACCACACUAACCUGCGCCACUUUGGCAAUAAUAUGAGAUUUGUUCUAUACAAUAAUUUGUAUGAAACAUAUUAUUUAAAUUUAGGAAUUUGAACUAUAAAUCUUAGAUGAAAUUAGUAUGAAUCAGACAAAACAAUACUUGUUAGUUUAAUAUAACAUAGUUUCAAUCCAAGGAUCGAAUUUAAUUACUAUAUAGCAAAAUAAAUCAGUUACCAAUCGACCAAAAUCAAAUUACUCAAGAAUUGACCCCCUUAAACCGCUCAGAAAUCUUAAUAUGUCAUAAUGUUAUACAAAUCGCCCGACGAUGAGAAUCCGACAUGAGUCUCCGACGAGCCCAAAGAAGCUCAAGUCUUCGUCGCAAAGCUCCGUACAAGGACCAAAUGAUGACACCAACAAGUACACUAUACACCCGCAACCAAAUUGCACACAGUACCCUCCGAGAAGAAGCAAGAAAAUAAAUGUUACGAGUAAAUCAUGUCGAUAAUAUAGAUAUGGUGAAGUAACCCCUCUUUGCAGAUCUCAUAAGAUUACACUAGAAAUGAAAUCUCUUAAAACAACUCAAAUUAUUAUGACGAACUGAUCAUUGGCAUCGCCAUGCAUACAAAAAUCUCUUCAAAACGUAAACAAAAUCUGAAUAACAUGAGAUCCCCAAUCCCCAGUUGUUUCAAGAAACAAUAAUCUGAUAACGAUGAUGAGCUCUUCAUGAAUUUGUUCAAUAAUUAGUAGUUGAGGUUUCAAUUAGAAGCCGCUCUAAAAACGUAGGACCUAGAUCCUCAAACUCAAUCACAUCUUGAUAAGGCGGUUGAGUUUGGGGAUCCACGCCUCGCUUACCACCUUUCUUUUUUUGGUUGAGGGCCUUACGCUUAAUAAGAUGGGUCUGCUUAAGAGCCUUAGCCGGAGAGGAACAUUCCCCCAACGGGCAGCCGAUCUCAUCCAGAGAUCGGCUAACUUCAUCUGCAGGGAAGUUGAGCACCGCCCUCGUACCUUGCAGAGACAUCGCCGCCUGGUCGUAGGCUAGGGCUGCCUCCUCAGAUGUGUCGAACGUCCCCAGCCACACCCUCGCCCCGUUCCUCGUCGAGUCCCGAAUCUCCGCCGCGUACUUCCCCCACGGCCGAGUCCUCACCCCUCUGUACCCCGACUUAUAAACAGCGUUGUUCUGCUUUGACUUCUUCUUGCCCGAGGAGGAAGUUGCUUCUUCUAGUACCGGAGGGUAAGCCGGCGAUGGUGAGAUUGUGUAGUAGUUUGAUGGAGGGGAGAAGAGGGGGGUUUGUUCUCCGAAUUCGACUGGGCUCCAUUGCGGGGGUGAAGAGAGGUAUAGUGGUGAGGGUGAGUAGUAGUAUGGAUCCGACAUUUUUCUCCUGUGGCCGUCGCCGUUUUGAGGUGGAGGAUGAGAUCUGAUGAGAUUUGGGACAACUGUAAUCCAUCUUUAUACCUAGUCCUAUAGCCGUAUAAACGUCAAGUUGUCUUUUUCUUCUCAUCCAUAAUUUUUUAGUUUUUUCAAUUUUUAUAUUUUUUGUAUAUUAAUGACUGUCGCAAAUUGUUCAUGUGUAUUCUUGUACACGACAGAGACAAUACCAUAUGCACAUUAACUACUUAUUACUCAUUAUGUUUUUCUUACAUAUAUACUCAUUACAUAUUUUUUAUGAUAAAUGACCAUUUUAUCCCCGAUCGAAAAGAGAUUUUUUUUAUCAAUCCACAGAACUAAUGUAUGUACAUAACUAAAAUCGAAACAUUAAAGCCGUUCCUCUACGCUCGAGAGACAAUGUAAUUGAAGCAAAUCCUCUCGGCCGAGUCUUUUGUGCCAUCCAUUGAUGUUCGGAUGAAAAAAUACGAAAUUAUGUAACUUCAGAUAAUGUCGACUAUCAAACAGAGAAAAAUUUGAAACCUCUCAUCAAACACUAGGCCGAUAUUGUUUAAAAUUAUGAAGUAAAAAGCUGCAUUCCGAGGAUCGCAAAUGUAUAAUCCUUUCGCAAUGUACCCUAAGGGGGAAGGUACGUGCUCGGUGUGCGAAGAGUUUGGACCGUAGCCGUACAUAUAGUAUAUUCAGUUGUUCAGAAAUAGUAGUUUGUCUAGCAAAUGCAGAGUUCAGUUAUUGUGAGGAAUCAGGAUAAUAACCCAUUGUUGGAACGACAGCCUUGUUUAUUAUACUGUCACGUUCAGCCCAUUAUUGAGGAACUCCAACGUUGUUUAGUCCUACUUCAGACAUAUUUAUAAGCAACUGGUAUUUAUGUCAAAAUGACAUGAUUAAUUAAGUUGAGACAUAUUAGUGACACCUCCUAACACACAAAUGGUUGAUGCAAACAUAGAAAUGACGACACACAAUAAUCCUGAAUAACAUUGAUAGCAAUAUCAAAGGUUUAGAAACCCAUCAUCCAUUCAGAAGUUAAGCUAAAACUUCAUCUAAUCCAAACAAUACAAAAGGUUUAACCGCUCAUGGUUUCGAAAAAUAAAUCACAAGAGAAGAGAAGAAUAUCAGAGAAGACGACAUGUUCUUCAUGGAAAUCUCAAUCUUCAACUUAAUGAUUCGCCCUUCGCCAAUCAUGGUUGAUCAUGUUGCUUCAAUCGUCUCUCUGAAACUCUAACGCUCUCUAAGAGCUCGAAAAUAUGUGUACUAUGAAGUAUAUCCCGUCCAUAGGAGGUCUCGGGGGUAUUUAUAGGGAUGUUUCCUUUUGCCUGCCGGAUACCAAAAGUGUGUCGUACACGGACCAAAAGUGCGUCGCGCACUUUUGGUCUUAUUUAGAGAGAUCUCUGAGCUGAAAGUUGUAGAAAAUUGAACUAUCUUUCCAACGCCGCCGACCUUGCAUCAAUCGGACUUCUGAGUUGGGAAAUAUGUUCAAAAUACAAAAUUGCGACGUUUUCCGACCAAGACAAACGUACUGAGUUGUUCCAGCCUCCCCGUCAUGUUUUGGUUCAUCUCAAAACGUCAUAUGACACCUGAAAUGUACCAAAAACAUACCAGACAACAUAACACGGCCCCGAGGGGCAAGAGAACCAAACAUGUACUCAAAAUCCUGAAUUUGAAUACAUUUCGACACACAAAAAUAUAGUUCAUAACGAGAAAAAAUGUGUCGAAAAUAUAACACAUCAUAUAUAUAUAUAUAUAUAUAGCUCUUUGUCGAUAAUAUAUUGUAAGUUGGACAAGUUGUGUGAUCAGUAUCAUGUAUAAAAAAGACAUAUUAUUUCUUUACAGUAAUAUUAAAAAAGAAUAUUAUAACAAGUUGGCUGAAAAGUUACAUAAUUAGUAUCAUCUAAGUAAGACAAACUAUUGCUGUCAAUAUAAUUAAUAUCAUCUAAGUAAGACAAACUAUUGCUGUGAUUGACGAUAAAUUUUUAUUAAAAAAAGUAAUAAAUAUAGAGAAUCAUGUUAGUCAGACAUAUUGUUAGAUCUAUCCAUAUAUUAAUUAUUAGAGUGUGGUGAAAUAACUAAGAAUAUAUGAAUAGCAAAUUAUCGAGAAACAUAUGAAGUUAAUGACAGAUGAAAGAGGAGAAGAAUCAGACAAACAAAAAGACAACCUUAAAAAAGUUGGAUUGGGUAGGAGAAAACCUGGAAUUAGGAGAUGAUCUGCGUACGCACCUGCCUGCUGCAAUAAUCAAUCUAUUAUCAUGCCGAGUUUCCGCAUGAUCAGCCGACAAAGCUUCAUGGCUGGAUGAACAUAAUUAAACCUUGCCUUAUGGAUCUAAGCUCGAUCUUCAGCUUCUUCCAUUUUUGUAUAUAUUAUUAUUGCAGGUAGCGAGUGGUUUUUGCUAGCUUAGGUUGCUGCCUGCAGGGAUGCAUAGUUUCUGAGAGGCGGAUGAAACCAAGACCCGGAAAAGAAGGAAAUAUUCUAGUAACAUUGUCAAUCAUGUAAAUAUUCUAGUUUUGAAGUAAUAUUAAAAAAUAAAAUAAAUUAAAUUUAAUAAGUUUGACAAGUGAUGUGAUCCGUAUCAUUUAAGUAAAGUAAAACAGACUGUCGUUGUAAAAUUACUAAUAACCCAUUUUAAAGAAUAAUAAAAAUAAUAAAUACAGACAACUGUGUAAGUUAGACAACAUGUUGUUGUUAGAUCUGUGGAGAGAUUAGAAUAUUAAAUUAUAUGUGGUGAAAUAGUAAUUAACUAGAAUAUAUGAAGAGCUACUCAUUAUACAUAGAUCAGAAACAUAUGAACUACGUACAGAUAUGAUGAAAGAGGAGAAGAAUCAAACAAAAAUGGACAAGCUUAAAAAAAUGGUGGAUGGCUGCAGAAUAUAAACACUGCAUAAGAUAAGAAUAAGAUACCUCCCCGCUGCAAUAUUUUAUCUAUCUGUUAUAAAUGCAGAGUUCCCGCGUGAUCUGCAGACAAAGCUUCAAAGUGUGGGAUGAACAUAAACCUCGCAAGCUAGCUUCAUGGAUCAGAAUUCAGAACUCUUCAGCUUCUGCAAUUUUUUUGAUAUAAAGCUGACUUAAGGUUGCUUCAUAGUUCAUACCUCUUCUGGUUGUAUUCAGUACACGUGUCCGCAUUUAUUGGCAAAGCCGCCGGAGUCUUGUCGUGUAGUGCCCUCCCCUACUCCCCAGUUCCUACUACUAACAUUGUGUAUAUUAAUUUGGCAGGUUUCUCGGGAAAAAUGUCUUUCAUUUUUCCAAGGCAUACCGCAUAUAUAUAUAUAUAUAUAUAUACUCGUCCAUGUCCAACUGUCCGCACAUGCAUGUACCCGCGACUUCCCUCGUACCAUAUUUCAGUUACCAAAGCCCGCCAAAACAGUCGACCUGAUUUCUCACCGCCAUCCGUGUCACCUGCAAACUCAUCUCCAUAAUUCUCAAUCAUUUCUUCCCAGCUUUCAAUAUUCGAAGCUGCAGCACCCAAACAAAACCUACGAAUUUGUUGUCCAAAAGAGCACAGACACAGUAACUGCUGAAUUUCAUCAACUCCAUUUGAACAAAUAUAGCAACCAUUGUCAACACUAAUUUAUCUAAACAUUCUAUAAAUUUAGGGUUUCGAAUAGGCUUGGCAUUGGGUAAGCCCGCGAUGGAUACCCGUGAGUUUUAAUAGAAAUUUGGGCUUUUUUAAUCCGUUGGCCGGGCCCAUUCACAGAUUGUGGGCGGCCCGAAAACUGCGGUUCCCGGUAUGUGGGUGGGGCCGGAUCCAGCGCUAUCUGCCUUGAUACCCACCCAGUGGUUAGUCCGUCGUUUAAACGAUGUAGUUUCGGUGGGACUAUAUAAACAUUGAGCAGCCUCUUAUUCACGCCCAGUUCCGAACCCUAGUGGCCGCCCAAACUCUCUCGAUUCACGAUUCUCUCAAGCCUCACCCCCGACAACUCCUCUGAAUCCGGCCUUAUCUCUAGGCUCUAGCGGAAAAUCCUCCAAAUCAUCGUGUAUUUCAUUCAAUCCACGCUUCUUUCUCUUCAUUUCAUUGAAUAAGAUCAAAGAUAUAGUAACCUAACCUGACGAUUUCGUCGAUUACACCUCCCAAAACACAUAUUCACGCAAUUACGGUCCCCCGUUCUUCAAUUACAAUCACAAAUGAGAUUAGAUAAGUCUCUUCCUUCCUUUUCUUCAUUGAUUCCUUCCGUAAUUAAAUAAUUUAUUAACUUCUUUUAUUCUGACUUUUUAUCUCAUUUUCUUACCGUCACAUGUGCAAUGUAAUAGAGGUAAUUGAGAUGAAUUAUAUUGUUAUGUAUUAAUAUUUGAUGUACUCUAUAUAUACAUGUAGAGAGCUUGAUUUUAGGAAGGAAAUCAAGCUAGGGGCAUGAUAUGGUGAAUGAUUACAAGAGAUUAUGAUAUGAUUUUGAUUAUGAAGUUUCUCCUUGAUUGUAGUCUCUAAUACGCCCCCGCAAGAUGGACGUCGUGUCAACGACUCCAAUCUUGUUCCGAAGUAGAGUGAAGCGUGGUGUAGGUAGUGGUUUUGUGAGCGAGUUGGCAAGUUGAUGUGUGGUAGAUAUGUGUCUGAUGAUAAGACGACCAACUUGAACUAAUUCACGUACAAAAUGAUAGUCAAGAGCGAGAUGUUUCAUGCGUGAGUGGAAGACCGGGUUGGUGCUGAAGUAUGUGGCUCCCUAGGUAUCUGAGUGAUGUACUGGUGUCCGUUGAAUCGGUUGGUGAAGUUCUUGGAGAAGGUUUUGUACCCAUUGAAUCUCAAGGACAAGUUAACUCGUGAGAAACAGGGAGAUAGAGAUAUCAGUACUUAUCUCCUUGCCAUGAAAACCAUCGCAGCUGAAUUAGCACUGGUUCAAUCGCCGGUCGAUGAUGACGAUCUUGUGGUUCAUUGUUUACGAGGCCUCACUCCUGCCUAUCAACAUAUCUCGGCCGCAAUUCGAGGACGGGGGACUCCUUUGACUCUCGAAGACUUGAUGGAUCUAUUGGUGGACUACGAGGCGGACAUUAAGCAACAGAUCCCGCCGCCAGAAUCUCCUAUGCCGAUGGUGUUCUUCACACAUCAGAGAGGACGUUGGAGCUUUAGAAGGGGAGCUUUUCGUGGGCGCUUCAGCGGUGGCUCGUCCAACUCACGAGGAGGCCAUCACAACCCUAAAGCCAUUCAUAUGGGUCGUCCUCCUCCUUCAUUUAACCAACAUUCAGGCCCAAGUUAUGUUCAACACUCAUUUGGGCCGAAUUAUGGAUACCAGGCCCGUCCAACAGUUGUGUGUCAAUUCUGUAACAGAGUGGGCCACUCAGCCCGCACUUGUCAUGAUCUUUUUCCCCCAGUCAACCAGCAGCAGGCCCAAGUAAACUACACCACUCAGCCCAGCUCCUCACAUCAACCAAGUCAACAAAGUUCAGGCCCAUGGUUAAUGGAUUCAGCUGCAUCUCACCAUGUCAUUCCGGAUUUGGGGAACUUAUCUAUCUACUCGGAUUACAAUGGGCCCUAUGAAAUUAUGAUUGGCAACGGAAUAGGUUUGCACAUCACUCAUAUCGGUGACACUUUCAUGCCCACCAAUUCUACUUCCUUACGCUUGAAUAAUGUUUUAUGUGUGCCGGCUAUUAAAAAGAAGCUCAUAUCAGUUGCAAAAUUAUGUCAAACUAAUCCUGUUUCGGUUGAAUUCUUUGCCAAUUCUUUUGUUGUGAAGGAUCUCAGCACGGGGGCACCGCUUCUACGGGGAAGGAAUAAAGAUGAUGUUUACGAGCUUCCAAAGAGUGUUGGGACGGUUAGGUUGGCUAUGGUUACAAACCGCACCCCAUAUCUCAUAUCAUUCUUGGCAUUCUCGACUUGGACAUCCAUCGCCCAAAUCUCUAUCUAGUUUACUUCGUGCUCAAUCUCUUCCAUUUAUUAAAAAAAAUGAACAAUUGAUUUGUGAUGCUUGUCUUUCCAAUAAGAGUCAUAAACUCCCCUUUUCAGUUUCCACAUUAACUAGCAAUCGUCCUUUUGAUUUGUUGUUUUCGGAUGUGUGGGGUCCUACACCGAUGUCUUCUAUUGAUGGAUUCAAAUAUUAUCUUAUCUUUGUUGAUCAUUAUACUCGUUAUACCUGGUUGUAUCCUCUUCUUCAAAAAUCUGAUGUUCUGCAGGUCUUUCUUGACUUUCGAAAAAUGGUGAAAAAUUAUUUCUCUACCACUAUUCGUCGUCUCUACACGGAUGGUGAUGGAGAAUUUGUCAAACUUCGAUCUACUCUCAAUUCACAUGGAAUUACUCAUCUUCUCACUCCUCCAUAUACUUCAGAACACAAUGGCAUAUCAGAACGGAAACAUCGACAUAUCGUGGAAACUAGACUCACUUUACUUCACCAAGCCAAAUUACCACCCAUCUUUUGGUCAUUUGCCUUUUCCACUGCCAUUUAUCUCAUUAAUCGGUUACCUUCUUCAGCUCUACGCGAUAAAAUACCUUUUCACACUCUCUUCAAUACUUCUCCGAACUAUCACAAACUUCGAAUCUUUGGUUGUCUUUGCUAUCCAUGGUUGCAUCCUUACUCCACAUCUAAGCUAGAUCCGAGAUCCAAACCUUGUAUUUUUGUAGGUUAUUCUCAUCAACAUAGUGCAUAUAAAUGCUUUGAUCUACACACACAUCGCAUUUAUCUAUCUCGUCACGUUGUUUUCAUUGAGAGUCAAUUUUCGGGAUUUGUCACUAAUCCACCUGCAGGGUCCAGUACCUCUGAAGACUGGCUACACGCCAUCACUCCCAUCCUUGAGUAUCUUCUGCAUCCAACCGUCCCCACCUCUUCAGUGGCUUCAGACACAUCUUCUCCUGCUUCCUCAGUUGCUUUACCCUCCACUGCAGAUUCCUCUCCAACGGCAAUUCAAUCGGUUAGGUCGCCAUCUCCACCACCAUUGCCGCCGCCGCCGCCACCACUUCCACAGCGGCCACAUCCAAUGCUCACUCGUGCCCGGAAUAACAUCUUCCGGCCCAAUAAGCUCUUCCUCACUCAGGUUCGGUCUGACCCACCACUUGAACCCAAGUCUGUUAGAGAGGCUCUUCAAUAUCCCGAGUGGACCCAAGCUCUCUAAGAAGAACAUCAAGCACACAUAAAGAAUGGUACUUGGACUCUAGUACCAUGGCAACCUCAUCUCAAUGUUCUUGGCAAUCGAUGGGUGUUCCGAGUCAAACGCAAUCCUGAUGGCACAAUCAAGAGAUACAAAGCCCGUUUUGUGGCUAAGGGUUUUGACCAUCAAUCUGGUGUUGACUUCCAUGACACAUUUAGUCUAGUGGUCAAACCUGUCACAGUCCGUACAGUUUUCACAAUUGCUCUGAUACCAUAAUAGAGGUAAUUGAGAUGAAUUAUAUUGUUAUGUAUUGAUAUUUGAUGUACUCUAUAUAUACAUGUAGAGAGCUUGAUUUUAGGGAGGAAAUCAAGUUAGGGAGAUGAUAUUGUGAAUGAUUACAAGAGAUUAUUAUAUGAUUUUGAUUAUGAAGUUUCUCCUUGAUUAUAGUCUCUAAUACAAUGCUGCUGAAGUUUGUUUGCUGCGUUUUUAUGAUAUUGUUCCACAGUUUCUUUUGUUUUUUUGGAAUAUUAAGAUACCCUCUCGGAAGCUAUUUUGUCAUGUUUUGAAUGUUGUUUUGCUGCAUUGUUCUGAAUAUUCAUAUUGUUCUUUGAGUUUCAUUCGAUUUUACAAUUUACAAGGAGUUUGAUUUCAUUUUAAUUUCAUUGAUUCCGACAAUUUUAUUGAGUUUUUUUAAUCACCAACGGGGAUUCGUAGGGAUCCGAGAUCCAUCGCAGGACGGUGAUGACUUGGGAUUAAGCCCCGAAAUGCCGCGUCGGGCGGAGACAGAAAAACCCGACAUUCACCGUAGACGAGAGCGGAUACACCCUACUCGUCCCCAAUCCGCCCCGAUGUCAAGCCUUGUUUCUAGUGACAUGUAUGUAGAUUAUGGAUCACAACGUACGCUCCUGUUGUGCCACUAUCAUGAUAAUAUGAAAUUUAGAUAAUAAACAUUAUAUACAUUUAGGCCUUCCAACUUGAAAUCCUUGGUGUACUAAUUUUGUUGAAAAAUUUAAGACAGAUAGACUAUAAAUGGUCGUCACUGACAUUUUUAUAGAUGUGAUUCGUAGGUGUGAUUAUUGGAUAGUUUUUGUUAUUUCAAGUUGGAAGGCUGGUCAGAUGGGUAGAAAAGUGCCGAGUUUAGUUCGGCAGGCCCAACUGAUUAAAUGACGGCCGGAUAACGAGGGUUGGUAUAUUUUUAGCACCAACGGUCUCUUCACUUUACCGUGAAGUCAACUGUGUUGUGGAGUAUUUGACUAACUUUGACCACUCUUAUUUGUAUGGUUUAUAUAUUUUAGAUUCGCUAGACCAGAGUCUGUCCUACUGACUGCUAUAACUCUAUUAGUGAAGCGCUGCUUCUUACAAAAAAAAAAUGGUUGUCACAGAGAAUGAGUAGAAGAAUUCGAGACUGGUAAACGAAGGAUAUAUCUAGCUAUCAUAUGCUAGUAACUAAGUGGUUCGCUCCAGUGUAACAGUUACGAUGAUAAGAGUAUUGUGAGCGUAUACGAGCCACCAAAAGUGCUUGUUUAAUUCCCAGAGGGUCAACGAUACGUAUAUGAAACCACUAGGCCAUUAGUCAAAACUAACGUCCCACCAGUCAGCCGUACCACCACUCCUAUCACGUCAUAUGCUAGGUGGCGGAUUCAUGGGUCUUCUCCCCGCUACAGUUCAGUUUAUUUUUGAAUUUUAAAGUUCAAUGCUAUGUAAUUUUCCUUUAUGUUUUUUGAUCUAUUGAUAUUUUUUCUAUAUACGAUCCAGUGUAUUUGAACUCUAACACAAUUUGACAAAGUACAUUGAACCAUUCUGGAUCCACCGUUGUAUAUCCCGUAUGAUGAGAAGAACCUGAGGUAGACGAAAAAGACUGAAACAACUACAUCUGUCUAUACAUAUAGUACUCCAGAGUGAAGCUCGGAGUUCGGCCCUCGUCGGAACAAGGUGGGGCGUUGCGUAGGUCUGGCAAUUCGGUCGAAAUUGGUUGCUCGAUUCGAAAUCGAAUUCGGACAAAAUCUUGACCAAUUUCGAUUGCGAAUUCAAUUCAGUUUGCCAAAUUCGAAUUCAAUUUGAAAUCGGUCGACCGAAUUCGCCGAGUUCAGAACCGAAUUGGGACUUUGUUGAUAAACCGAAUUGAGAAAAGACCUUAAAUCUAUUUUUCAUGCUUCAUUUUGCUUUUUCUUGGCUUCCAUACAUUAAAUUCCAAUUGAAAUAAGUCUUCACAUUACAUUACAUAUUACCAAAUAAAUUCAAUAACAACAUAUAACAAGUAGUUGAAAUACCCAAGUUUAUGUUUAAAUUCAGUUUUGUUUUGAAUUCGGUCUAAAAUCGAAUUCGACCGAGUUGACUGAAUUCGAAUUCGCAACAAAUUUACCUACCAAUUUUGAAUUCAAAAUCAAAUUGACACUUGAAUUCGGUUUUCGGUUGAACCAAUUCGGUUACCCACGCUCGAGGAGGGGGAAGAAACAAAGGUUCGCAUACCCUUGAUCGCUCUGGUUCAACUUGAAACGCCCUCGAAGCAAAUUAAGCAAUGGAGUACUGAUGUCUGAUAGUGCUCGAACACAUUAUCGUUACAUAAAUUUAUGUGGCUUGUAUAAUUAAUAUAUUAAAUCAAAUUUGAAUAAAAAAAUUAAUGAAAUAGUAUUCGUUAAAACCAUUAAAAUUUAAUAAAAAAUUAUCGAUAUAAAUUUUGCAUAGUACUAUUUUCCCUUAAAAACGAAUGAAUUAUAUUACAUUACAAAAUUGCAACAAAGCCGCAAAAGAGAUGGGGUACAAAAUUAAAGUCACAUUAUGGCACAAGCAUGCGGAUUGUCGUCGCUAAAGAUAGACGCAACGGCCUCGUCGGAGGCGACGGCGACAGAGUAAACUGCCGGCGUCUGGAAGAAGGAGUGGACGCUGUUGCUGUUGUUGCCGCCUCCUCCGAGGUUCUUGUAAGGGUCGUAGUAAUGGUUGACAAUGUAGGUCGGGUACUUGUAAAACGACGAGAAAUGUGCGUAGCCGGGGAACGGCCACGGCUCGGCCGAUUUGCCGGCGCGCUUAAUCGCCUUGAGAAUCUUCUUCUCUUCCAGUGCAUAUCCUCUCACUGUUAUCUUCUGAAUCGCCAUUUCCACUUCAACUUCUUCCACUCCUAGACAAUAACAAACAAUCGCUUGUUUGAUUAUACUAAGUGUGGUUUGGAUGAGUUAUUUUACAUGUGUAAUAUGUUUUAGCAUAACAAUGCAAUAUUCGAGAAUGUGGAAUUUAUGAGGUGCAAAUAGUUUGAGAGGGAGUUUAACGGACCUUUGAGUUUGAAGAGAGCUUUCCUCAACUUGGAAGCGCAGCCUUCACAGUCGAGAUUUGGAACUCUAACCUCCACCAUCUGUAUAAAUAACCAGUUAUAAUAAUUAAGUUUGUAACUAGUAACACCCACCACAACCGCCACUAAGCUUGAUCAGAAAACAAAGCUAGCUUCUGCAACAAAACAGAGCACAGAAAGAAAAAAACAGAGUAGGUAACUUACAGACAUAACUACUGAAGGGAAGUGAAGCAGAGACGGAGGGGAAAUGUGGUUUGUUUGUAGGAAACUAAGUAAAAGCUUGAUUGAAGUGAGAAAGUAAGAAGAGGAAACAGAGAGAGAGAGAGAUAAGAGAGAGAGGAGUCGGUUUCCAGAGUCACGCGUGGAUGAUUAGGAAAGCGUGAGAGAAAGCUCAAAGCUCUCUUCUCUGCCUUUUUAUGCGCAUUGGGGGAAAUGACAUGGCCAGGCUAUAUAUUCUUGUAAGAAGGGUUUUGAAAAGGACGAGUGCUGCCUGGUAGCUCUGGUUUUGUGCUCUCAGCUCUGUAUGUGUGGUCACUUGUAUCAAACGAAGUAUGUAUCCACAUUUCAAUGAUUGAAAUCCACCUUCUUUUUCUUCUAACAAAUGGGAUUUCAUUUGAUCAAAGAUCGUUAUGAAAUGCAAGAAGAAAUCAACUCGAUAAUGUUUAUAAACGAUAUCCAAUCAUCUGGAAGCGAGUUUUGUCGCGUACGUAGAGACCACAACCCAAGUCUAUGAUUGAGUCUUUAGCUGGUUUGGCGAGUUAAUGCUCCGUGAUUCCAUGUUUAGUUUGAAGGUGACGUGGAGUUCGUUCAGACCAAGUCAACCUUCAUCUGAUGAGAUUGGUUCUUAUUUAAAGAAUUCGUGAUUUCGAGUUAACAUGCAACUUAUUUCGAUGUUCUUGUAAAGGUUGUACUUCAAGACCUUGCUAUUAGUUAAUUUAUCAUAUUUAGUUUGUCUCGAUUUUAUUCUUAUUGUAUACAAAUUAUACGAGAAUAUAUGUUUCUAGUCACAAUACAAAGUGCACUCAAUGCAUGAUUUAUAAUGAUGAUCUCGUGGGAUUCGACUACAACAAUAUAUAGUGGCGAUUCAGAUUUUACUUAUGAUGGGUGGUGCUGGUGGUCAACGCUAAAGGCUCCACUUUCAAAAAUUGUUUGAAACAUCUUACAACGAGUAAAACAAUCAUGAAGGCAAACGUAACGAUAAUUAUUUCUUACGUAAUCAUGAAGGCUCCACAGUUUGCUGGAAAACACAGGCUAAUGACCAGUUGACCACCAUGAUCAAACAAUCCCUCCUGCAUAGCUAGCCUUUUUCUCUCUUUACUUUCAGGUACGUGGAAGUGGGUCUCCUGAGCCCCGACCCGAACAAAGCAUGCCCUAUAAAUAAAGCUCAUUGGCUUUCCCACUGAACGUACAGAGAGCAUUCUCUGUCGCUGCAAAAAGGAAAAGAUUCCCCUUUUCCCACAAGCUAUGUCCUCAUCAUAACACCAAACACAAACCAACCCUCCAAUCGAACCGAAUUAUAUUAUUAAUUGCUCCGAACCGGAACAGUUGGUAGCAGGCCUCACACCAUACGAUUUUGCCUCACAUCUGACUUAUACCCUUGAUACACUCUCUCGUCGGAGACUCACAGGGCACCUCAAUUCAAGAAAGGACAUCGAACUCACGGUCACAAACCAACUCUUUAGUCGAACUGAAUUAUUGCUCCGAACCGGAACUCGUGGGGCGGAACAGUUGGUAUCCUUGUAAUUACUUUGAAUUUAAUAUAAUUAUAGUUGUGGUAUACAAAUGUGAGAUUAUUAAUCAUAACAAAUGUACAGUGCAGUUUAAGAUAGUUAUAAUUAUAAACAUACCAGCAUUAUAUUAUACAUGGGCUAGGCUUGGACUUUUGGAGAUGGGCUGGGAGUGGUAUUUACAAAAGCAAUCGGUCCAUUUAAGUCUCAUUUAGAAGCCCAAUCGCGACCCUUACCGUAACUCCGAAUCAUUUAACCCUCAAUGGAGAAGCAGCCAAAGAAAUCGGCUGCCGCCGGCGGAGAUCUUAUUUCAAAUUUGCCGGACGAAAUCCUCCACUCAAUCCUCCGCCGAAUACCGUGCGCUAAAGAAGCGGCCCAGACCUCCGCACUAUCCAGGCGAUGGGGAAACCUCUGGCGCUCGUACCCCAAAGCAGAGUUCGCUUCCCUAUACAGGUCAGGCGGGGGGAGCUCUUCGUUCUGGAAAUUCAGCGCCGCGACGAUCAAAAGGUUUUCUCGUGACAAACAGUUGCGGAUGGAAAGUAUCAAGAUCUCGCUCUACACAAAAAAAGAUGAAAUCCUUCCCCUAGCUGUUGGUGAUGGUUUCCCAGCUUUUGAGCAGCUGCUGGAUUUAGCAUCGAAGAGGAAAGCUGAACAUGUCGAUCUCGUAGUAGUUGGCUUCUAUGUCGUCUGCCUGCCCUUGGAAUUACUCUCGAAUUCAAGCGCAAAGACUGUCCACUUUGUAGGAAUCAGGUUUGUUCUUAACGAGAAGGUUCAAAACUUAAAUUCUCUACGGUCGCUGAUUUUGAAGCAUGUCCAAUUGGACGGAGGAGAGCGUUUCUAACCUCCUAUCUUUGAAAUCCUUAUCCUUAGCUGGAUUCGGCGCAACGGAGAAGAAACUGAAACUGUACGGUCGCAAGCUAGAGAAAAUCAAGCUUUCGGCAUGGACAGGAUUGGAGGAGAUCGAGAUCAAUGUUGUUCCACGUUUAGAGAAAUUCCUGCUUAGAUAUGAUGCAUUCGAGCCGGAUGUCCAGAUAAAGAAAUGUGAAAUAAAAAACUCCGCCGCCAAUUGCCAGUGUGACGUUGGUUUCGAGAUAAGGCUUGACGGUAGAAGACGACCAUGGUUCCUUGAAUUCAAGAGUGUCAUUGUCAGAUUCUCAAAGUUCCAUACCGUCAACAUCUCUUUGAAGUCCUAUUCUUCAGAGGUAACACACUAUUCAUAACAUUUUCUUUCUGUAUUAGCAAUUUUUGUGUGCACUGUAACUAAAUCAUCUGCACUUGCUUGUCUUGUCUUUUUUUUUUUUUGCAUAGUGUACCUUAACGAGGGAGGAACUCGAUUACACUAUACGCCCAACGGCCAUUCAACACUUGAAAAUUGAGCCAUGCUUCUUUUAACAGCUCUCUGGGGAGAAAUUUUGACAAGUCUGUUCUGUGUUUGUCAUCCGAGGUUCUUGGCAAUGGUUAGUCCUUUUCAUAAAGAAAUUGAGAGGUUGCUUGGAGAUUUUCUAUCUCAUUAUUUACAAGACUCCAUUAAUGGGUAUCUGGAUUGGCGGAAUCGGUUGAGAAGUGUGAGGAUUAUGACAGAAGAUGCUAAUUACUUUGUUAAGGAACAAAAAGGGUUGGCGGCUAUUAGAGAUGAUGAGUCUGUGUGGCUUAAAACACAAAAUAGUGUUCGAUUACUGCUAACUUUGUGUUAGACUAGGUUCUUACUACUAUUGUUGUUUUUUUCAUGGAUCAUAUAUUCUUGUUGUUUCUAUGUGUUGCAGAAUCACGUUGUAGUAUGUCAUCUUGCUUGGAUCUAGCUUGGUCGAGACUGGGAUGGAUCAUGCUUGGGAGUUAGGUAUCAAGAAACUCAGAAUUCAGACAGGCUCCCAACUAAGCGUAGCUGUCGAGCUGCUUUGAUAGCCACUCAAACUCGAUCAUCAAUAUGCAAGGGCGACAUUCGACUUCAGGCGUUUCUCUCAGAUUGAUUGGGAUGUGACUCUCCGCAUAUAUAUCGUCAGCCAUAUUCAGGUCUCUCUCAGGUUGAUUGGGAGAGUGUGACUCUCCACAUAUUUAUCGUAAGCCAAACAACAUUGUGGAUUACUUAGCCGACUUGGGUCAUUUCCUUGAUAUUGACGUGUCUUUUUUUUCCUUUUUCGAAUAACACUCUUAAAGGGUGGCUCAAGUACGACCUUGUGAAUGAGAGUAUCUUCAAACAUACUUGACCAACCUCCUUCGUUAUGUAUUUGGCGAUGGCACGCGACAUACAAAACUAGACAGAUGCAAAUAGCCUGCCAACUUCACCUCCUUUCCUCUAUUCCACUCAAAAUCAACACUUCGCUUGCCCUCUGCCAAGUACUCCGAUAAAGAGUAUUCAUUGCGACAAAUCGUUGAUAGGCAAUUCCCAUAAGGCGGCUUAUGGAGUCAUUGUUCGUGACAUCCAUGGACAGCUUAGUGAUGGUAGGUAUGGAACCUGCUUCUGCUCAUCAGCAACUAGUGCCGAAACCGCCUAGCCAUGGGAAGCACCGAACCUACAACCAUUGAUCGGAUUGCAUAACACUCAUCAACAUCAUUAACAAUAUGCAUCUUCCAUGGCCAUGAGAAUGUUUUGCCUCUAUUGUUUCGAUAUUGCACCUCUCUGAUACCGCUCAGUGGAUCAAGUACGUGUUCAUUCCAAGGAAACUUAACAAAGUGACGGAUUGGGUUUGCAACAUCUACUAGAAUUCAAGUGAUUAACAAUGAUUGAGUUAACUUUAGAUUGGAUUGAUGUUUUCUUCUCAAACUCAUUGAUUAAUGAAAAGAAAUUUACUUGCUCAAAAAGAAAGUACACGUUGUGGGUGGCAGUCUUCUCCAUGUUGUACCGGACGUAUAAUUUCUUGGAGUUUCCCCAGCUUUUUUACCAAAAAAAAGUUAUAAUUAAAUCCAUUAAGAAUUUUAAAUUGAGUAAACACUUUUUUAAUUUUUAUGUCCUAAUAAAGUAGAGUGUUUAAUUCAACCCUCAAUCAUCACAAAAGGCUACAAUGACCAUGUUAAAAUAGCUUUCGUAAUCGUACCCACUCACACAAAAUUCAAAUUUUAUUAUUAAAAUGUGUCAAAAAGCCAUCCAAAAAAUGCACAUGUAUGUUAUAACAAUUGAGCUUCAUAAAUCACAAAAGGUGAUAGGACAAGAUGGACAUUAUUAAUGUUUCACUUUUUAAAAUUGUAACAAUUUCGAUUAAUAUAUAAAGAUGUUUCGAUAAUAUUUUUUACAAAAAAAUAAUCGAAAAGACAAAAUGAAAAAAAGAUUCGAAGUUCAGAAUUUUUGAAUCAGUUUCACAAAACACACACACAACAUCGUCCUGCAAUCAAUGAGGACUGUCAGGAUCCAAUUAAGAAUGUCNNNNNNNNNNNNNNNNNNNNNNNNNNNNNNUUUUGAUUAUUUGAUUGUUUGGAAUUUGGAUGUAAUAUUUCAUCAAAAUGCGAAUUAUUUGAAAUAUCAUAUGAAAUAUUUUUAUAAUUUCCUUACAGAUACUUCAAAAUAAAUAUGCAUUAAAUUUAUCACUCAAUCACUAAAUCAAUAAAGCAAACAUCAACAAAAUGAACUAUUUUUACAAAGAGUUAGGAAGUUGUAUGAAUUUAAAAUUUGGAUGACAGGGUUGCUUGAUUUAAUCGAAAAAAGCAUGUUUGGAUCAAAUCAUAUAUGAAAAUAAACUACGAGGUAAGUAAAGCGUAUCAUGUCUCGUCAUAAAUACCGUUAGUUCUUAUUUUAUACUCUUUUUAAAAUUCAAGUUGAUCUUCUAUGUUACUAUGUAUUACGAUCAGUGGACUCGCUUUGUACAAAUCCGACUUUUGAACAAUGACAUUUGGGCUUGACAAUAAUAGGCUUUUUAUUUUGACAAAUCCAUAUGAUCGAUCCACCCACAUGAUCACUUAUGAGUUCUAAAUUAGCAACCAAGGGUAUCCUCGAGUCAUAAUCCGCUCACUUUCGAAUAUAUAACUUCCGUUGUAUAUAAUAGUUCUUCUAAUUAAUAUUUUUAUUUACGUAAUAUAUAUAAUUCGAUCGAGUAUAUUCAACCUAUUUAAAUCGACCAAUACUGUUUCUGAACGCAAAAGUCAAAAGCUGCUGUAAAAGAAUUACAAUUCCUUCUCAUUUGCCUUCUUUCCUUUUCUUUCUCUUUUAUUUCUCCUUAAAGUAGUAGCCGCCUCGAUCUGUCACGAGGACGCCGAGGCUCCCACUUCCUUUCCAAAACACCCCUCUCCUCUUUCCCUUUGUAACCUUUUCUUGUCUCUAUUACUCACAUGGCGGAGCACUGAACAAAUUUCACCCAGCAGCUACUCUCCUCCGUCCUACAUGCAGCUCGCUCUUCAGAGGUGGUGGCACGGAUCUAGUGCUCACCGCCACUUGCUAAUCGACACCAUCCGCCGCCCGUUGAUGAAGCUUCCUCCUAGAUCCUCAGCUGUCCUCUUCUCCCUCCUCUUCCUCAUCGGCGGCGCGUUCAUCUCCACUCGCCUCCUCGACUCCAAUGUAAAUCGGAAUUUCAAAUUUCAUUUCUUAAUACGUCGUCGUUUCUUGCACCGGGGUGCAGGGAUCUCCGCCCGUGUCAGUCGGACGUGAUAUUUAAAUUACUUUAAUUAGUUAUCCUAUAGGAGUAAUUAAUAGUAAUUUAAUUAAUCAUUCUUAAAAAAAUGAUUAUUUAAUUUUGAAUUUUGUCUGAAAGCAGGCAUUUACAGUUUCCGGAGGAAACAAUAUCUCCAAGUCUUCGCCGGCGACUUCAUUAACGGCCAACGCGGUUCCUACCGAAUUACCGGAAAAGCCCCGGAGGAGAAGAAUCGAGGUUCCACUCAACUGCACUGCACUCAACCAAACCGGAACCUGCCCCACCAACUACUUGACACUCCAGGGUGGUGACGACGACGGCUAUAGCGGCAUUGAAUCGCCGCCGUCCACGUGUCCAGAGUACUUCCGCUGGAUCCACGAGGACCUCCGUCCAUGGGGGAGGACGGGGAUCACUAGGGAGACGCUGGAAUCGGCGAAGCGGACGGCGAAUUUCAAGCUGGUGAUCGUGAACGGUAAGGCAUACGUGGAGAAGUAUCAGAAGGCGUUUCAGACGAGGGAUGUUUUCACCAUUUGGGGGAUUGUUCAGUUGCUCCGUAAGUACCCUGGUAAGGUGCCGGAUUUGGAGCUGAUGUUUGAUUGUGUUGACUGGCCGGUCGUUAAAUCGGACGUCUACGAUAAGCCCAAUGCCACCGCGCCGCCGCCGCUGUUUCGGUACUGUGGGGAUGAUCAGACGCGCGACAUCGUUUUCCCUGAUUGGUUCUUCUGGGGGUGUUANNNNNNNNNNNNNNNNNNNNNNNNNNNNNNNNNNNNNNNNNNNNNNNNNNNNNNNNNNNNNNNNNNNNNNNNNNNNNNNNNNNNNNNNNNNNNNNNNNNNNNNNNNNNNNNNNNNNNNNNNNNNNNNNNNNNNNNNNNNNNNNNNNNNNNNNNNNNNNNNNNNNNNNNNNNNNNNNNNNNNNNNNNNNNNNNNNNNNNNNNNNNNNNNNNNNNNNNNNNNNNNNNNNNNNNNNNNNNNNNNNNNNNNNNNNNNNNNNNNNNNNNNNNNNNNNNNNNNNNNNNNNNNNNNNNNNNNNNNNNNNNNNNNNNNNNNNNNNNNNNNNNNNNNNNNNNNNNNNNNNNNNNNNNNNNNNNNNNNNNNNNNNNNNNNNNNNNNNNNNNNNNNNNNNNNNNNNNNNNNNNNNNNNNNNNNNNNNNNNNNNNNNNNNNNNNNNNNNNNNNNNNNNNNNNNNNNNNNNNNNNNNNNNNNNNNNNNNNNNNNNNNNNNNNNNNNNNNNNNNNNNNNNNNNNNNNNNNNNNNNNNNNNNNNNNNNNNNNNNNNNNNNNNNNNNNNNNNNNNNNNNNNNNNNNNNNNNNNNNNNNNNNNNNNNNNNNNNNNNNNNNNNNNNNNNNNNNNNNNNNNNNNNNNNNNNNNNNNNNNNNNNNNNNNNNNNNNNNNNNNNNNNNNNNNNNNNNNNNNNNNNNNNNNNNNNNNNNNNNNNNNNNNNNNNNNNNNNNNNNNNNNNNNNNNNNNNNNNNNNNNNNNNNNNNNNNNNNNNNNNNNNNNNNNNNNNNNNNNNNNNNNNNNNNNNNNNNNNNNNNNNNNNNNNNNNNNNNNNNNNNNNNNNNNNNNNNNNNNNNNNNNNNNNNNNNNNNNNNNNNNNNNNNNNNNNNNNNNNNNNNNNNNNNNNNNNNNNNNNNNNNNNNNNNNNNNNNNNNNNNNNNNNNNNNNNNNNNNNNNNNNNNNNNNNNNNNNNNNNNNNNNNNNNNNNNNNNNNNNNNNNNNNNNNNNNNNNNNNNNNNNNNNNNNNNNNNNNNNNNNNNNNNNNNNNNNNNNNNNNNNNNNNNNNNNNNNNNNNNNNNNNNNNNNNNNNNNNNNNNNNNNNNNNNNNNNNNNNNNNNNNNNNNNNNNNNNNNNNNNNNNNNNNNNNNNNNNNNNNNNNNNNNNNNNNNNNNNNNNNNNNNNNNNNNNNNNNNNNNNNNNNNNNNNNNNNNNNNNNNNNNNNNNNNNNNNNNNNNNNNNNNNNNNNNNNNNNNNNNNNNNNNNNNNNNNNNNNNNNNNNNNNNNNNNNNNNNNNNNNNNNNNNNNNNNNNNNNNNNNNNNNNNNNNNNNNNNNNNNNNNNNNNNNNNNNNNNNNNNNNNNNNNNNNNNNNNNNNNNNNNNNNNNNNNNNNNNNNNNNNNNNNNNNNNNNNNNNNNNNNNNNNNNNNNNNNNNNNNNNNNNNNNNNNNNNNNNNNNNNNNNNNNNNNNNNNNNNNNNNNNNNNNNNNNNNNNNNNNNNNNNNNNNNNNNNNNNNNNNNNNNNNNNNNNNNNNNNNNNNNNNNNNNNNNNNNCUCUCUUCUCGUUCCCUUUGUAACCUUCUCUUGUCUCUAUUACUCACAUGGCGGAGCACUGAACAUUUUCCACCCAGUUCCUCCCCACCGUCCCACAUGCAGCUCGCUCUUCAGAGAUGGUGGCACGGAUCUAGUCCUCACCGCCACUUGCUAAUCGACACCAUCCGCCGCCCGUUGUUGAUACUUCCUCCUAGACCCUCAGCUGUCCUCUUCUCCCUCCUCUUCCUCAUCGGCGGCGCGUUCAUCUCCACUCGCCUCCUCGACUCCAAUGUAAAUCGGAAUUUCAAAUUUCAUUUCUUAAUACGUCGUCGUUUCUUGCACCGGGGUGCAGGGAUCUCCGCCCGUGUCAGUCGGACGUGAUAUUUAAAUUACUUUAAUUAGUUAUCCUAUAGGAGUAAUUAAUAGUAAUUUAAUUAAUCAUUCUUAAAAAAAUGAUUAUUUAAUUUUGAAUUUUGUCUGAAAGCAGGCAUUUACAGUUUCCGGAGGAAACAAUAUCUCCAAGUCUUCGCCGGCGACUUCAUUAACGGCCAACGCGGUUCCUACCGAAUUACCGGAAAAGCCCCGGAGGAGAAGAAUCGAGGUUCCACUCAACUGCACUGCACUCAACCAAACCGGAACCUGCCCCACCAACUACUUGACACUCCAGGGUGGUGACGACGACGGCUCUAGACGCUCGACAUCGUUUUCCCUGAUUGGUCAUUCUGGGGGUGGUGAGUUUUUCUUUCAAUUAAGAUGAUUGCUUUCUUAAAUUUGUGAAUGGAUUAGGAAAUUGAUUAAUUGAGGGUUUUGGAUUAGGCCGGAGGUGAACAUUAAGCCAUGGGAAGAGCUGCAGAGUGAGUUAGGAGAAGGAAAUGGACGAACGAGAUGGAUGGAUAGAGAGCCGUAUGCUUACUGGAAAGGGAAUCCAACGGUUGCAGAGACAAGAAUGGACCUUAUGAAGUGUAAUGUAUCUGAUGAACACGACUGGAAUGCUCGGGUCUUUGCUCAGGUACUGCAUUUAAGCGAUUCAAGUUGGAAAUUUGUCAGUUUCGGGACAAUUCGACUGAUACGAAAAGGAAUUGUGUGCUGUUCUUGGCAGGAUUGGAUUAAGGAAUCACAGCAAGGGUACAAGCAAUCAGAUUUGGCCAGCCAAUGUGUUCAUAGGUCAGUAGUAGUAGUGAUUUAUGAGUGCACCCUUUUACAUUUUCUUUUCUUAGGAAGGUUUCAUUAAUGGUUUGGAGGUAACUUUUCCCCAUUUCACUAUUUCAGGUACAAGAUCUACAUCGAAGGGUCAGCAUGGUCAGUGAGCCAGAAAUACAUUAUGGCCUGCGAUUCUGUUACCCUGCUAGUAAAGCCUCAUUACUAUGACUUCUUCACCAGAAGCUUGGUUCCGGUUCAUCACUACUGGCCUAUACAAGAACACGACAAGUGCAAGUCGAUCAAGUUCGCUGUCGAUUGGGGCAACAGCCAUAAGCACAAGGUAUAAAAAAAUCGUUUCUUUCCACAAAAACCAGAGCUUUUCAUUUUUCAGUUCCGAACUUCAGAACUUGGAUGCAUGAUAAAUCUUUGAUCUAGGCGCAAGAGAUCGGGAAGGCAGCGAGUUCGUUCAUUCAGCCGGAAUUAAGGAUGGAUUACGUGUACGAUUACAUGCUCCAUCUUUUGACUGAGUACUCGAAGCUGCUGACUUUCAAGCCGGUUGUUCCGAGGGGAGGUGUAGAGCUUUGUGCAGAAGAAAUGGCUUGCAAAGCGGACGGGAUAGAGAAGAAAUUCAUGAUGGAGUCGUUGGUUAAGGGUCCUUCGGAGACGAGUCCAUGCUCGAUUCCUCCUCCUUACGACCCUCCAUCGCUGAGCAGUAUGUUGAGAAGAAACUUGAACUCGGUUAAGCAGGUUGAGUUAUGGGAGAAGGGGUACUGGGACAGUCGGAAUAUGCAGCAGGCUUAGAGCAAUACAUAGGUUUACUGUAUACAGAGGGGACAAGUUACUGUAUUUUUUCUAAAGUAAGAGCAUGUGGAUCACAGUUCUCUGUACUAGUUUCACUUGUGGUCUCCCCCUUGCAGAAGUAUUAGUGUUCAUUGCUUAUAAAUCAAUCUUGGUAACCGAAACAAAAUUGAACCUAAUCGGUUUGAUUUUUGACCGCCCUGACCUUGUCGGCCGAAAUUUGAAUGAACUGAUUCAAUUGCCUUCAGGUGAACACCUUGGGCCUUAAUGAUUCAAAAGACAAAAGCUUUCAGCUUUCUCGAUCACUAAAGGCUCAAAUGAACAGUUUUCAAUACCAAAAAGUCAAAUCCAAUCUCGCCAUUUGGCCCAUUUUCCACCAAGCAUCGGCAUCCUUCUUUCAAAAUGCUGCCACGGGGGCUCAGAUUCCUCUUCCUUCAUUCAAUUUUCUCUCCGUACUCGACAAGGCACGCUCUCAAGGAAUCCCCUAUUCAGAUUGAUCGCCGUUUACGUUAACCACUGCCGGGAAAGACUCUGUUUCGAAUUCGACAAAUUGCAGAAAUGAUCGUCGACGGGAAGCGAAUACAGAGGGGAUAUUACUGAUUAGAGGGGAAGAACAAACGAUGAGGGAUAGCAAUGCACAACCGCAGAUGGUGCAUCUCCCGAUGCCGAUUGCGAAAAACUCCACCUUAAUUUUCCUCGCCAUUUUUCUCCUCGUCGGCGCGUACGUGUCCACGCGCCUCUUCUCCGACGUAAGACUAUUUCAAACCUCUGACAUCGACACGGCGUCGUUUGAACGGAUUCCAGGCAAAAUUUACGCUGACCGUUUCUUUAUAUUUUUUCUGUUUGGUAGGAAAUUCCGAUUCAAACGGAAGAGAGAGAAAUUAAAAAGGACACGCCAACCACCACGUGGCAGGAAUAUAGAAUCGAGGUUCCACUGGACUGCCCUGGGUACACAACCACCGGAGUAUGCCCUACUAACUACCCGCCGACUUCUCCUUCUCCUCCUACCGACAACCAUCCUCCGCCGUCCACCUGUCCAGAGUACUUCCGUUUGAUCCACGAGGACCUGCGGCCAUGGGCCCACACGGGGAUCACGAGGGAGACGCUGGAGAGAGCAAAAACGACGGCGAAUUUCAGGCUGGUGAUAGUGAAUAGACGAGCCUACGUGGAGACUUUCGAGAAAGGGUUCCAGACGAGGGACACUUUUACGCUGUGGGGGUUCCUACAGUUGCUCCGUAGGUACCCAGGUCAGCUCCCCGAUUUGGAGCUGAUGUUUGACUGCGUCGAUUGGCCGGUCGUCAGAACGGAGAACUACACGGCGGCGGAUGCUCCUCCGCCGCCGCCGCCGUUUCUCUACCUCGUCGGUUCAUAGAAUCUAGCUCUCACGCUUCACUCAAGCGCUGAAGGAAGGAAAUACGAGAACCAAAUGGGAAGAUAGGGCACCCUAUGCUUACUGGAAAGGUAACCCUGACGUUGCUGAGACGAGGCUGGACCUUCUGAAAUGCAACGUCUCCGAAACCGGUCAGGAUUGGAAUGCUCGAGUCUAUAGACAGGAUUGGUUCAAAGAAUCCCAACAGGGUUACAAGCAAUCUGAUCUAGCAAGCCAAUGCAUUCACAGGUCUUUCUUUUCCCUUUUUUCUGUUCUGAAUUCUGAUGAUGAUGAUUAUAGAUGGUGUUUGUAAUUGAAAUAGUGCAGGUACAAGAUUUACAUAGAAGGGUCAGCGUGGUCGGUGAGCCAGAAGUACAUUCUGGCUUGUGACUCUGUUACGCUGAUCGUGACUCCGCAUUACUACGACUUCUUCACCAGAGGGUUGAUGCCGGUGAGGCAUUUUUGGCCCGUUAAGGAGGAUGAUAAGUGCAAGUCUAUUAAGUUUGCUGUUGAUUGGGGGAAUAGCCACAAGAGAAAGGUGUAUAUAAUGCUCUCUCUUGCCAACAUAUAUCAAACUAGUAAUGCUAGAUCAUCACGUAGACAAAUUUCGACUGUGUCUUGAACUGGUGCAUUCUAAUAACUCGAGCUACUGGGAGAGAGGUUUAGAUUAGUUUUUAUAUGAUUCAUCAACACACGCCCUUAAACGGAAACUCUCAGAAGUUAGAAAAGCUGAGGUUUGCAUGAAUUCAGUGAGUCGGUUAACCGGAUUCGAAACAGAGACCUCUUAGUUUUGUAGAGGCUCUGAUGUCAUGUCAAAAAAUUGCGUCCCAAUAACUCAAGUUAUUGGAACGUAAUUGUUGUUGAUUUUUUGACAUAGUAUCAUAUCCUUAAAUGACCAAAGUCAGGUUUCCAUUUCGAAAUCACUAUAUAAACUCCAAAUUUUUUGCACAAGACCUUACUAAAUUUGUGUAAAUCUCAUACUUUUUCCAGAGUUUUUAUUUGAAAAAGCUUAUCAGUGAAUAAUAUAAAGCCAAUUUUGGACCCUUUCCCAACAACUUGAAAGGUUGAAAUACAAUGUUUUUGACAAAGGGUUUGGAUUUUGAGUAGACUAGGCAAUCUAUAAUGUGAGCCUAUAUGAAGUCCUUCAACUCGAGUUUUGUGGGUUUAACCCAAGUGGAGUCACUUUAGUGGUAGAAUUGUGUUGGAACCCGAAAUUACCCAAUAAAUUGGUGCGUUUGUCUUGAUUGGAUUUCACUCGUCAUAUGCUUUCAACGACAGGCGCAAAACAUAGGAAGAGCGGCGAGCAACUUCAUCCAGAACGACAUGAAGAUGGAGAACGUGUACGACUACAUGUUCCACUUACUAAACGAGUACGCGAAGCUGCUCAGGUUCAAGCCGGAGGUGCCCAAGAAAGCCACCGAGCUAUGUUCGGAGAGCAUGGCGUGUAACGCUCCGGCCGAAGGGUUUCAGAAGCAGUUCAUGAUGGAUUCACUAGUGAAGUAUCCUUCCGAGAAGCCUCCGUGCGGAAUGCCUCCUCCUCACGACCCAGCCACAAUGUACGGCAUUCUGAAGAAGAGGGACACUGCUAUGAAGAUUGUUGAUCUCUUGGAGAGGACAUACUGGGGGAAGCAGAAACAGAAUCAAACUCAGCCUUGAUUUAGUUGGUUUCUUUGGUUGUUGUUAUUGAGUUGUGUAGAUAUGAACAUGGUGACAUUGUUUUGGUACAAAAUGGUACCAAUAGAUAUGGUUGAAUCAAUAAAAGGGGAAGAUUCUUUGCAUGCACAAAAUACAAUGGCUCGUGAGGUUUCAAAUCGUUAUGUAUUUUCCAAGUUGGUCCAAAUUGAUAGGCACCACUAUAGUUUUCAACGAAUCAGGAGUACUUACUUGAAUUCAAAUGGAGUUGCUUUAAUGAUAAAGUCGUUCGGAGGAAAAAAAAACAAAGAAUUGCUCGGUGGAAAUUAGACCAUAGACCUUAAGAUACCUAGCUAACUAUAUUCACCAAAGUAUUUUUCUCAAGUACUUUGUUGGAUGUGGAGUUUGUAAAAAAUGUAUGUUUAUUUAGUAAUUGUUUUUGUUCCAUUAGAAUGUUUAUCUGCGACAGCAAUAACUAAUUAUUUAUUUAAAUGGUGUUGACAUUUGAUUUUUUUUGUGUGGAAGCUUGUAGUUUCUAGGCUAGUUGGAGAUAGUGGUGGAUUCGAAAUCCGCUCUUCGAAAGCACGAUCCAUCAACAAGAUAAACAUCGAUCAAUCAGACAUUGGGAAGUAUAAGAUGAAGAAGAACAUCCAGAAAACAGAUGUAGUAUUAACCCAGCAUUCAAAAGUAUCAGGGAUUCAGGAAGAACACUACAAUUUUUCUUGAUUCAGCAGCCAAACAAACAUAUAGGCAAAGGGCAACAACAAACGUAAGUCACAAUUAAAAGAAACAAAAGUAUUACAUCAGACUAAGAAUAUUGAGAUGCCUCUUUCGUAUAAGAACAACCUCAUGAAAAACCAGAAACAAAAAUAAAAUAAAAGAACAGAAGGAGCAAAUUAAAGAAUAUCACUAGAAAAUCCAAAAAUAACAAACGAAAAAACAAGACAGGGAAUUAAUGAAGUUUAUGAAUGGAUGGAUAGAUGGAUGAACGAAUGAAUGAAGGGUGGUCGUGACGAAACAUAGUAUGAAGCUCGGUGAUUUGGUGUGGGUCUAAAGAGCUCGGCCUUUGACAAUGUCGAGGCUCAUUUCGCUGGGAUCAGUGGCUUGUAGCUCUACUUGAAUCCCAUCCAGUUCCCUCUUGAAUCGAUCUUUCGAGCUAGCGUACACCAUCUUUUCCCUCACCUUGGAUAUAUCAGGUGCCCUGCAUGGAAAUCGUUAAUUUCACCGGUUCAAUGUUAAAAAAGUAACGAGUCCAAAAAAAUGGGGUUUGGUCAUAUUACCAUGCAAUGAAGAAGAUCUUGCUCUUCUGGCAGUUCUCAUCGGUGGUGAAAUCAAAGUCGUAGACAGCAUAUCGACACUCGUUCGGGGGCAAGGAUGAGGUGAAAUCCUCGUACGUCUCCUCGGGGCUCCCGAGUUUCUCUACAGAAACCUGCUGGUUCAAGAUCUUGAAAACUAUGAACCUGUAGUUCCUCUUUGCUUUCAGUUCCAAAAACUUGAGCUUGCAGUCGUCGUGGACUGCCAUUCCUGAUGCCGAGUUUGCCUAUUCCCACACAUUCCCCAUCAUCAAACCAAACAUAAAUAAUUCAAACAUACACAGCACAUGAACAAGGUCGUCGUUAAACCAUAGUUUCUUUUACGACCAUACGCAAAACAUAACAUAAUCCAUGAAACAAAAUGAACACAGUCACUUACUACAUUCUGCGUUCCGAAUCAGCCGCUCAAUCUAAGUAGCCUCUUUGAUUACGAUCAAGAGAUUACAUAGAUUGCGAUCAUCAAAACGGAUUACGAGAAAGAGAGAGACAGAGACAUACCAUGGUGUUGGCUGUGUGAGAUCAGUGCCAAAGGAGGAGGAGGAGGAGAUUGAUGAGAAAGAAACAACAAAAUGGGGGAUAAUGGAAUGCAGAGAUGGAAGGAGGAGCAUAGGAGAAUUGGGUUAGCCAGAGAUCCUUUAUUUUUUUGGGAGGAUGUUGGAGAUUUUUGAGGGACUAAAAACUAAGGUUGGAGAAUUUCUCAAACCCCCUCUUUACCGCUCAUCCAACGAUGACUUUUCUUUUAUUUUCUUGUUUUUCUGGUUUCCCCUGCAAGGCCUUUUCCAAUAAGAACAAACAGAGAACAUGCCCAAUAUAUACAAAUGCAACAAACUAUUUAGGAGCUAAAUAUAGAAAUGCAUCCAUGAGCUAAUCGUGGCAUACCAUCCGUUUUUUGGACUGGUAAUUUACCUGAGACCAAUGGCCUUUCUCAUGGUUUUAUCAGCACCGUACCACCAUACUGGCCGGUCCGCUCAUGUGACUAGUUCGGUGUAACAAAAUAUCAUGGUGAUCAUGAGCAACUCGACAUUCGUCUCAAAAAGUUCAUUUGAAACUCAGCUCGGUAUCACACGAGCCAAGCUUGAGCCAGCCCUUGUCCAACUCAACAGACUCGACCAACUCGGUAGAUUCAGUCUAUCACAUAUUAUAUAUAGUUUUAUUAAGUAUCAGGUAAUAUGUUGUCCAAUAUGAUAUCCAUAAUUAAUUACUAUCAACCUUACCGGUUCGAUAUCCAGUUCGUUUUUCGAAAGCAUGAUUAAUUUAAAGGCUAAAGCCCUUCACUUGGUUCAAGCAAAUGUUCGUCUCCAACAAUGGUUUGUCACUAGAAAAGACAUUCCCCAAUCAUCUAUACAUGUUUCGAAGUUAACAUAACAACAAGAAGAAACAAAAACCCUUCAUUUCAGUUCAACCAAAACUGUUGUUCCUAUGGGAAAUACUAUAGGAACUUGAAAAAAAGUGAGCUCUCCCUCUAACUUACUGGUGGUACAUAUCCAGGACUGUUUGAAAUCGAGUAUAGACUCAAUGUCACUCUGUCUAUGAUCCGAUCUAUCCUACAAAGUUCACUACUUUCGGCUCUUUCUUCUUCUUCGGAAUGGUACCCUCUUCCUUUACAUCAGAAGGCUUCCCUGUCUGCUCGAUAUCUUGCGUAAAAUCGUCAACAAGUUCGUCCCCGCUAAUGAACUUGGUCACCUUCCCAGUCGACUUCUCACCAAUUCCAAAUGCUGAAACAAAAGAGCACCAUCAAGUUAUAUAUGAAGCUCUACAACACUUUUGGAACUCGGUUCUUAACAAACUUGUACAUUACCUUUUCUAUCGUAUGAAGUCGUAAAUCUUUUAGCCUUAUCGGGACAGUCUCUAGCCAAAUGUGUCACACCACCACAUAUUUUGCAAGAACCACCCUGUAGAAGACAAAUGCAGUCAAUUCAUAAAAAUUUCACUUUCGAAACUGGGGAGUCAGAAUAAUCGAAUGCCUCAGUGUAGAGUUUAGUUACCUUUGGGUAUAUACCGUUGGCAUUUUUGGGGCAAUCCUUGCUCAAAUGACCUUGUUCAUUGCAGACAAAACAACUGGCAUACUUGGUUCCUCCUACAACAAUGGAUAAGAAUGCAAAAGACAUUGAAAACAAGUACAAAGAGCUCAACCCUAAUCAUCAAUCAUGGCUGCUAUACGAAUCGAGACAGUUCACUAUCAUAUUACUUAAGCUUUAGUCUUACUAAUACCCUCCUUCAAUGAUUCUAAAACAAGUCAAAUGUACACGAAUCUACAGUCCUAUUUCGUAACAGAAAGAAUUCACAGUGAAGUACACCAAAAAUCCAAAAUCGCAAACAGGCCCCCAGUUCAUUCUGAAGACUGGUAAUAGUUAGGAAGCAGUUAUUCCUCAUUCUCCUGAUGCAAAGCUACAAAUGUCAACCAAUGAAACAAUCAAGGAAUGUAGAAACCAAUUUUGAAUCUCUCCCAAUAACUUGAGUCAUUGGGAUGCAACAACGAUCUCUAUAUAGCAUUAAGUCUUUCACAAGAGGCCCUGACAUCGAAUCUUAUCAGCUCCAAUAUAACCAUUUCAGUUGCGCAAAAUCAGUGCAAAUUUCAAUCCUUUGACAAGAACAGUGCAAAUUUCAAUGCUUUGACGGGCUUCAUUUUGAGGGAGGGGAGGGUAUUAAAAAUGUUAUAUAAACCUCUCCCAACAACUCUCGUCAUAGGGAUGCAACGGUUCUCCACGGAAACUACACUACAAGCAAUCAAUGCUGAAAUCAGUAAACUUCACCACAAAAACAAGCUUACCAUCUUGGAUUGGCUGAGAACAAUUAGCCAAAGAAUGACCAGUCUCCCCACAGUUAUAACACAACUUAGCACCAAUGCUCUCAUCUCCAUCUCUCUUAUUGGGGCAACGCUUCAAACUAUGUCCCCUUUGUCUACACAGCAAGCAUAUCUGCACCAUCCACCAUCAUCAUCAAUUAAAAAACCACAACUCAAAUGAAAAUAACAGCAACGAAAAGUAGGAAAAAAACAAACCUUGUCCCUUUCCCAUUCAGCUUUCUGGGGGCACAACUUGGCGAUAUGGUCCACUGCCUUGCAUAUGUAACAGCUGUCCCCAGGCUUCAUCCCAGGAACUCUAAGGGGCCGUUUGGUGAACUUGGUCUUUUUGGGGUUUCUGGGGUCAUCGGAUUCGGGCUUCUUACGCUUGAAAGUGCUCUUCUUUUUGUUCUUCUUAGGCUUGUUGGGAUCUUUAGGGGGCGUCGGCUCUGGCUUUGGGAACAGAGCUGGGUUCUCUGCUUUGAAUUUCUUUCGUGCCAGUUUCUGCCUCUGGCUCACCAUCUCUGAGAGCUGAAGGUGUGUUAACUUGAGAGCUUGCGAUUGAGAAAUUUGGGGAAGAACGAAGAUGUAGAAGAAGCAGCUGCUGGGGGUUUAGGGGAAGGUUUUGUUCGAACACUGCGAUGAAACGACAAGGCUUUGAGAAUUUGUGGAGAUUUUGUUUGUUCCAGAACCAGAAGCUAACUGGGCCAGAUAGUCCGGUCCAAAUACACAACCCAUGAGAUCAAUUCAAAUUUGGUAGUGAUAUUAGAUUAGUUAUCUAUACGGUUCAAUAUCAAUAUCGAGAUAUUCAAGAUAUUUAAUAAAUUAAUAAAGGGAUGUGACGCUCUUUCUUUCCAAAAAAUUACAUUUUCGACAGAUAAUAAUUAUAUAGAUGGUUAUUCGAUCAACAUGUCGGUGGAAUUUUCGAAUCAAACGAUGCUCGACCUUUCUCUACAACAGGUACCUCAUACAUUUUUGCUCAUUAGUUUUACUAAAAGUUGGAAAAAAGGAUUUGGAUCAGAGGCAGAAAAUGAGGAGCAGCAAGCAGGUGGCGGAUUCCUGCUCGAGGUGCGGCAGCAGAGCAUCGCCGACAUAAGGACCAACACCAGGUUCUGUUACGUCCCUUCUACCGGAGGUCGUGGUGGGCUAUCGUCUGCACCUUUUGUGGCGUCGUUUUCCGUUCUUAUCGGUGAUCCAAUUUUUCAUUUUUCGAUAUUCCUUUUAAUUUCGCUGCUCUGAUUAAUUAGAUGGAUCAUCAUCACCUUCUAGUUUGUAUGUAUAAGUAUAUAGAUUCUUGUGAUCUAAUCGGAGGGUUGAAGAAUUUAAGGUUUGAAAAUCGAAAGGCAAAAUUCUACUUGUGGAGGUGGAUUUUUCCCCCUCAUCUUACUGGUUAUGGCCUCGCUAUAUAUUAGAAUAAAGGAUUUCAUCCAUCAAUAUGCCUUGUUGUAUUUAAUUUGGUUAUUUGUUUCUGGCUGUAGAUCAAAUAUGUAUUUCCUUCAAACUCUGAAUAGCUACAAAUUAUAAAGAAAAUUAGGAAAGAAGCGGGAGGAAAUUAGAAAAAGAUUUAUCGGUGAUAGUGGUUAGCCACUGUUCGGUAGCCGACAACAGUGGUCUUAUGGAGAUUACAUUAAUUCCGACUUUAUUGGUGUUAAUUGUGGUCUUAUGGAGAUUAGACAAGUUUAAAUGUUGUAUACAUUUUGUCAUAUAGUUAGCCUUUAUUAUCGUAGGUAUUAAUGAUCAUUUCAUAAAUUUGUUAAAUUGGAUAAAAUAUUAAUUUAUUAUCGACUCCUUAUCUGACUCGAAUGUAAUGAUAUGUGUAAAACCCCACCCAACCACCUCGUUCUUCUGUUUGAGUUUAAUUUUGGCGGUUACGCUAUCUUGAUAACUCCUCCACAACGCUCUCUCAUUCAAAAAAAGAGAUAUCCAAUAUAUUUUUAUCACACGAAUAUUAGUUAAGAAAAUGGUAAAAUGGUGAAUGAGAAAUUGUAUCUCAAACAUCUUGAUAAUAUCGAUCUCACAUUCGAAGCCGAAUCGAAAAAUUAAAUUCCAUCACGGAUGCGGGGAGGAAGACAAAUAUUAAUUUAAACCAAGUUUUAAGUAAUAAUCGAUCGUAAGAUUAUUGAACCAAGUGGAAUUUGCUACCAUCAGGCAUCACCCCUAUUAUAAUAUUGCUUUCCUCCUGGGUUAAGACUUGCACUAACAUUCAUACAUCUUGACGAUGAGAAGGUUUGCGAACGGUCAUAAGAGUUUGCGAGAUGCUCAACAGUUAUAAAGUUGUCAGCUAUUUAAGGACGCAUUUAUAUACGGAAAAGUCUGUGUUAUCUCUAUCGUUAUAUUCUGGAAGAUAGACAUUUCGUAAAAAAAACGAUUCUAUUUUAAGGAUAACUCGAAAAAAACCAACCACAAAUUCCGCCAAGUGGCUGCUUUGCUAUGUAAACUUGGUGUCUAGCUUAAAGAUAACUCAUAUAUACUGCUCAUUGCCAUUAACCCACCAACCUGCCGCCGGCAGAGGCCCACAUGGGAAAGAAAAGAAAGAUUAAGAGAUGCCUUGGAAAUGAAGAAUAAAGCGAUCACUACAUCUGCUCUGCUCCCACCUCCAUUAAAACAGAGUAGUAAUUCCAUGCCAUAUUGCUUGCGUUUCAAGGCAAUUGCAAGUGUCAGAGGGGAACUGUCUUCUUCUUCAAGGCUUUAUCAUUAGGGUUUCUUUUCUUUUCUUAGCUGUCCCCACUUCAGCCAUACGAGUGAAUCCCACGUUUGGGAGGGUCAUCCCUCUUCCGUGUACCCAUUCUCACUCAUUAGAGCUGCAAUUAAUGAGUGGAAGAUGGAUGAAUGAAUAAAUAACAAGUUAACUUCAUGAUCAGAGACGGAUGGACGCUAGCUGACUUUGAACUGUCGGACGGGGAGACCCAACAGUUUUCCCAAAUCGGCCAUUGUGGUCACCUGGGUACUCCCAUUGGCCUCCGAAUUAAAUUAACAUGGAUGGUGCGGUGGCGGAUACGACUGAUGGCACGGUGAGUUUGGUGGUUUGAAAUGCCGGUGGGGUGGUUUUGAAGGGGGGGUUUGGUGGACGUUUUCAAAGCUCCUUGAUUCCUAUGUCAUGGAGCUCCUAACCGUCCGUGGCGAGUGUGAGCGGUGCUUGCCUCACGAAGUUUGACUGGUAUUUCAAGGGACGUGAAGGUUGUUAUGUCGAUCGUAGCACUCGUUUUGUAGUAGGUGGCGCAGUGGUUGUUGGGAUCCUUAAUUUUUUAGCGGCGUAUUUGUAUUUGCAGGUGCAUAUGUUAAUUAAAAGAUUUGUGUGAAAGAUGGUAAAAGUAGAUGUUUAAUUAAAAAAGUGGUUAUUAGAGUAAGAUUUUAUAAGAAUGAUAGGGUUUGGUUUUAAUGGAGUCAUAUAUGAACCUUAAUCGUGUCUAACAUUGGCCAACAAUGGUUCGAUUUCGACCUACCGCCCACAAUUAACCAAAUUACAAUAAAUUGGAGACCAAACAAGUUACAAUGCUUUUUAUAAGGACCAAAUGUAAGAAAAUUCUCACAAAAGCUGGGAUUGUCACAUGCCACAGUCACAAAGAUCACGUGCUCCCCCCAGCUUUCCACUUUCACGUGGAUGCACAUUCACUCGAAACUCUCUAGUCCCACUGACGACUCCUUCUAAACAUUAAAGGCGCGUUACGAUCACUCUCCUCCCACUCCGCGACUGAACUACCCACUCUAACAACAACCGUUUUUACAAAAAUAAUUCAAAAUUUAAAAUCCCUCCUAAGAAACCAAACGUCCGUUUCUUCCUCCGUUAUCUCCCGUCUCCACUAUAUAUCCCCUCCCAUCUGCCGCUACUCCAUUUCCUCCACUGACAAGCAAACCAUCUCUUCUCCGGCGAAAUUCUCCUUUCCGACGAGGCGAAGAUGAGAGAGAUCCUCCACAUCCAGGGCGGCCAAUGUGGCAACCAGAUCGGAGCGAAGUUCUGGGAGGUAGUCUGUGCCGAGCACGGCAUCGACAGCACCGGGAGGUACCAGGGAGACAACGAGCAGCAGAUCGAGCGAGUUAAUGUCUACUACAACGAGGCCAGCUGCGGUAGGUUCGUACCCCGUGCUGUACUCAUGGAUCUGGAGCCUGGAACCAUGGACAGCGUCAGAUCUGGUCCAUACGGUCAGAUUUUCCGUCCCGAUAACUUCGUCUUCGGCCAGUCCGGCGCUGGGAACAACUGGGCGAAAGGACAUUACACUGAAGGAGCGGAGCUUAUUGACUCCGUGCUUGAUGUUGUGAGGAAGGAGGCCGAGAAUUGCGACUGCUUGCAAGGUAGUCUUUCUAUUCUUUUUCUCUGCUGCGGAUCAGUAGCUGUUUGGCUAGAAGUGUCGAUUGAUUGAUUUUCAAGUCAUUUCGUUAAUUUUAGUUUGAUUAUUGAACACUUUCUGUUUGUUUACGCUAUCACUUUGCACGAAAUUCGAAUGUCAAUUUUACUAAGAACAGUUUCAAAGCACUGAUGGUUCUAGUUUACUUGAUCCGCAGAUGUAGUGUUGAAUACUUGAAUUAUACCCUGUUGACAUUAGAUAGAAGAGUUUCUGGAUCUAGAAUGUUUCUGAUCAUACAUCUUGGAGAUGAUUCUUAGUUAACGCUAUGCUUUCUAUGGCGAUUGACCGAUUGUCAGGUGAGGUCACCUUAGAAUUCGUAGUACUUUGGUCCUUAAUCAUCCUACUAAUUCAGUCUCUCGCUUUCAAUUUCUGUAGGUUUUCAGGUCUGCCACUCUUUGGGAGGUGGUACUGGUUCCGGCAUGGGAACACUUCUCAUUUCCAAGAUCAGAGAAGAAUACCCUGACCGGAUGAUGCUUACUUUCUCGGUGUUCCCUUCGCCCAAGGUGUCUGACACAGUUGUUGAGCCUUACAACGCAACUCUAUCUGUUCACCAGCUUGUCGAGAACGCAGAUGAGUGUAUGGUUCUGGACAAUGAAGCGCUCUACGACAUAUGCUUCCGUACCCUCAAACUCACCACUCCCAGCUGUAAGUCCCCUGGUUCCAAGCUCGACUUACCGUUUCCUUUUCUCAACCAGCUUCUGGCAGUAACAUAGUGAAGCUUGACUAUCAUUUAACCCCAUGUGGUAACGAGCCGCCUUUCCUGCCCUUAUCUCUGUAUAGUUGGAGUCUUGUUAGCUUUGUUGAGUUGAACUCUGCGUUCUUAUUAUAUUGACAUGAUUCCUCGUAUUUGUCCAGUACGAUGUUUCUCUCCUGGAUGAAUCGAAAACUAUCAUUGAUUUGCGUAAAGGGAUAAAUUAUUUAAUAAUAAACAGAUCAUGGGCGUUUAUUUGCAUUGCUAUUCAGAGGUUUUGGCUGUUUCUUCGUUCAUUAUUAAAUUAUAUAGGAGAGACCCUUUGUACCAAGCAUUUGUACUACUCUCUUUUAUUCUUUUAAUCUGUUUCUAAGAUUAUCUCUGGAGGGUUAUGAUCAUGUUUAUUCCUUUAACUUGAAUUUCUGAUAUUGACUCACUGUUCUGUUUUUUCUUAAUGAACCAGUUGGAGACCUGAACCACUUGAUCUCAGCAACAAUGAGUGGAGUAACAUGCUGCCUCCGUUUCCCCGGCCAACUAAACUCCGACCUCCGAAAGCUAGCCGUCAACCUAAUCCCAUUCCCACGUCUCCACUUCUUCAUGGUCGGAUUCGCCCCUCUAACAUCUCGCGGAUCUCAGCAAUACCGAGCCCUGACCGUCCCCGAGCUGACACAGCAAAUGUGGGACGCCAAAAACAUGAUGUGUGCCGCAGAUCCACGCCACGGCCGGUACCUCACAGCAUCAGCCAUGUUCAGAGGCAAGAUGAGCACCAAGGAAGUGGACGAGCAGAUGAUCAACGUCCAGAACAAGAACUCGUCCUACUUCGUCGAGUGGAUCCCAAACAAUGUGAAGUCGACGGUCUGCGACAUCCCUCCGACAGGGCUGAAGAUGGCUUCGACGUUUAUCGGAAACUCGACGUCGAUCCAGGAGAUGUUCCGGAGGGUAAGCGAGCAGUUCACUGCCAUGUUCAGGAGGAAGGCGUUUUUGCAUUGGUAUACUGGGGAAGGCAUGGACGAGAUGGAGUUUACGGAGGCGGAGAGUAAUAUGAACGAUUUGGUUUCGGAGUAUCAGCAGUAUCAGGAUGCUACCGCUGAUGAGGAUGGGUAUGACGAGGAGUAUGAAGAUGAGGAGGAUGCCGUUGGAGAUGCAUGAAAAGGAAGAAAAGACUUUGAUGAUUAAUACAGUAGGGGGAGGGUUUAGUUUGGUGCUUGUGGGUUUUGGAUGUUUUGUGUUUGCUGCAAUUCUGUUGUGGUUUUGCUUGGCUUUUGUUUUCAGGCUCCUGAAUGGCUUCUUUGGGUCUACGUCUAAUGGGGGGUUAUAGUGGUUUAGAAUUUCAGUUGUGGGUUGAGAGUGCAUGCUAUGGUUACUGUUAGUAGUUUUUACCUAAAAGUACUGAAAUACCCCAAUGUUAUGUUUAUUUCCUUCCUAUUUUGUAUUGACGGAAAGGUCUAAUUUGAUAAAAAAAUUACUUAGAUACAUCGAUGGCUAUUUUAGGAGAUACUCAACAUUCAAGACUAAUAUAUAUGCAGUUCCUCCAACAUCAACGCGAAC